AUUUGAAAUCGCCGAAGUUUGUGAUAAAAAGUCCCGUUUUGAGAAGUAAACAAGGAAGGCACAGAAUAUCACUAGCCAAUCACGUACCGCGACGGUAUCGCCCUCUGGGGAACGUGGAAGUCCGAAUGUGUAUCAAUUCAUUAAACUUCCGAUAGAUGCCAGCCACUCCGCGCGAAAGUGUCAAUUUUUAUAUGUCAUAUUUUUCUUCAAACCAGUCUAGUAUGAGCACCAUCAAAAUAUACGUUUACAUCGCUAGUUUGUAAUAUCCUGUAAUAUCAGUAAUAUUUACAAUACAAAUAGGUACACUUGUUGAAUUUCAAGUACAUGGUGCCUAUUGUUCAUUCAAUUACUGGAGCACCUGAACAUCGUACAUUUUUUUGUAUUCAAUGAAAAACGAACCUAGUAGCCGAAAAAAAACACAAUUUGUAAUUAGUGUUAAAUAAUAUUGUAAAUUUAUUCUAUAAUUGACAACAAAAAACAAAUUACAACGUUUAUCAUUGUGAUAUAUCAACACAUCAACAAAAUAAAAAACAGCCCUCUCACUAUAAUAUUACUUCACUCGAUAUUUUGUGCCGAAUUCAUGGAAUUAUUAAAUUAGAUAUUAGAAAUGGAAAAACGCGCGAGAAAAUAGUCUAAAAUCAGAUCAAUAAGAAUGUCACACUUAAAAUAGAGGCACUUAAAAAUUUUAUAUCUGCGAUUAUGCGAACAAACCAAUAAUGUAAAUGAUUUGUCGCGUCAACGCAUACCA